GAUGAACGCUAGCUACAGGCUUAACACAUGCAAGUCGAGGGGCAUCAGGAAGAAAGCUUGCUUUCUUUGCCGGCGACCGGCGCACGGGUGAGUAACACGUAUCCAACCUGCCCUUUACUCGGGGAUAGCCUUUCGAAAGAAAGAUUAAUACCCGAUAGCAUAAUGAUUCCGCAUGGUUUCAUUAUUAAAGGAUUCCGGUAAAGGAUGGGGAUGCGUUCCAUUAGGUUGUUGGUGAGGUAACGGCUCACCAAGCCUUCGAUGGAUGGGGGUUCUGAGAGGAAGGUCCCCCACAUUGGAACUGAGACACGGUCCAAACUCCUACGGGAGGCAGCAGUGAGGAAUAUUGGUCAAUGGGCGCUAGCCUGAACCAGCCAAGUAGCGUGAAGGAUGAAGGCUCUAUGGGUCGUAAACUUCUUUUAUAUAAGAAUAAAGUGCAGUAUGUAUACUGUUUUGUAUGUAUUAUAUGAAUAAGGAUCGGCUAACUCCGUGCCAGCAGCCGCGGUAAUACGGAGGAUCCGAGCGUUAUCCGGAUUUAUUGGGUUUAAAGGGAGCGUAGGUGGACUGGUAAGUCAGUUGUGAAAGUUUGCGGCUCAACCGUAAAAUUGCAGUUGAUACUGUCAGUCUUGAGUACAGUAGAGGUGGGCGGAAUUCGUGGUGUAGCGGUGAAAUGCUUAGAUAUCACGAAGAACUCCGAUUGCGAAGGCAGCUCACUGGACUGCAACUGACACUGAUGCUCGAAAGUGUGGGUAUCAAACAGGAUUAGAUACCCUGGUAGUCCACACAGUAAACGAUGAAUACUCGCUGUUUGCGAUAUACAGUAAGCGGCCAAGCGAAAGCAUUAAGUAUUCCACCUGGGGAGUACGCCGGCAACGGUGAAACUCAAAGGAAUUGACGGGGGCCCGCACAAGCGGAGGAACAUGUGGUUUAAUUCGAUGAUACGCGAGGAACCUUACCCGGGCUUAAAUUGCAGUGGAAUGAUGUGGAAACAUGUCAGUGAGCAAUCACCGCUGUGAAGGUGCUGCAUGGUUGUCGUCAGCUCGUGCCGUGAGGUGUCGGCUUAAGUGCCAUAACGAGCGCAACCCUUAUCUUCAGUUACUAACAGGUCAUGCUGAGGACUCUGGAGAGACUGCCGUCGUAAGAUGUGAGGAAGGUGGGGAUGACGUCAAAUCAGCACGGCCCUUACGUCCGGGGCUACACACGUGUUACAAUGGGGGGUACAGAAGGCAGCUAGCGGGUGACCGUAUGCUAAUCCCAAAAUCCCCUCUCAGUUCGGAUCGAAGUCUGCAACCCGACUUCGUGAAGCUGGAUUCGCUAGUAAUCGCGCAUCAGCCACGGCGCGGUGAAUACGUUCCCGGGCCUUGUACACACCGCCCGUCAAGCCAUGGGAGCCGGGGGUACCUGAAGUACGUAACCGCAAGGAUCGUCCUAGGGUAAAACUG
rnacentral:rRNA from 1 species